CCUGUCACCUGCCCGGUGCUGGGGAAAGUGUGUUAAUUAAUAGCUAAUGAGCCACUGGGGAGCAGAAGAUCCCCAGGGACUGGCUGUGGGCUGGGAAACCAGACUCCUGAGGGACCAUCUGUGGCCCUGGAUCAGUGUGGUCCUGCUGCCCUGGGGGUCCUGGAGAAGGGGGGUGGCCCCCAGAACUCACAGGGGACAAUCACUGGGAAAACCCACUAAUUAAUAAUUAAUGAGUAAUUGGGAAGCAGAAAAUCCCAAGGGACUCUGUGUGGCCUGGAGCUGUCCCUGUGCACUGUGAUCCUGAUGCCUUGGGACUCCUGGAUGUGGGGGGUGCUCCCUAGUACUCAUAGGGGACACUGGGAAAGCCCUAUUAAUUACUAAUUAAUGAGUUUUUAGGGACUGUCACUGGGAAAGCCCUCUUAAUUAGUAAUUAAAGAGUUUUUGGGGUCAAUCACUGGGAAAGCCCUAUUAAUUCCUAAUGAAUGAGUUUUGGGGGGCAAUCAUUGGAAAACCCUAUUAAUUAGUAAUUAAUGAGUUAUUGGUGACAAUCACUAGGACAACCGUAUUAGUUACUAAUUAGUGAAUUUUUGGAGUCAAUCAGUGGGAAAGCCCUAUUAGUUACUAAUUAAUGAAUUAUUAGUGGCAAUCACUGGGACAACCCUAUUAAUUACAAAUUAAUGAUUUUUUGGGGUGAAUCAGUGAAUUAUUAAUAAUUAAUGAGUUUUUGGGGUCAAUCAUUUGGGAAACCCUAUUAAUUACUAAUUAGUCAGUUAUUGGGUGUCGUGGUUUUGCUCUGGGUCAGUUUUUUCUCACCCCCCACAAUUACUCUAAGUUGAGAGAAGGUUUAUGCAGACAAAAGAGAGCUACUUUGGGAAAAUAAUCUGAACAUUUAUUACUAGCAAGAUGAAAACUAAAGAACUACAUCUACAAUAAUUCUAAUUAGGUAAAAGCACUAUGUAUUUACAGCAAUACCCCUCCCCCUUUGUAUCAGUCCAGGAGGAGAAGCAGUCUCUGUCUCCAUUUCCAGAGCUCCAGGUCUUUUCAAUAACUCUGCAGCACUCGAAAGCUCUUCUUGUGUUAUCUCAGGACAACAACUCCUUUUCAUUGCAGCUGGAACUGUUUCUCUCUUCUGUGUCAGUCCCAAGGCUGGGCCUACCCCUCUCCUGGGCUGAGACCAGAGGCUUGGGGGUUACCCAGGCCCUGAAGGUCUUCUCUUCCAUGGACUGCAAGGACACACUUGCCUACUGUGGAUCUUCACCAGAGUCACAGGGGAUAACGGCUUUGAGUCCACCCCUGUUUCCUGUGGGGUCCCUUCCCACUGGGAGAACAGUCCUUGAUAGACUUUUCCGACGUGAGUCCAUCUCUCAGACAACAAGGUCUUCCAUUCUCUGCUGUCUCUCAGGGUCACAAAUUUAGCUGCACCAGCAUGGAUCCCUCACUCGGAUCCCAACUCAGGGUCACCAAUCUCCAGCUGUGCAUGGAUCCCUCACUCAGAUCCCAACACCUUACCCGAGCCGUUCUGCUCUGGCACAAGUCUCUCCAUGCCUUACAAGCCUCCAGCAGGACUCUGUUUCAUUUCAAGCUUCUCAUGAAGUCUCAGCUUCCUCGGCAUCCACAAGCUCCUCUAUGAGCCACGUGGGGGUCCCCUCACCCCAAUAAUCUUCCACAGGUGGCAGAGAUUUAUUUUAUCAGUCUUUUCCCUGCUGAAGGGAGGGAAUGAAAGGGGGGAAAAGCAGCCCCCCACUUCGAACUUCUCUCUCCUGCUGCAGCUUUGGCCUGGAAAGCCGUGCUCUCUCUCUCUCUGGAAUUCCUUUUGCAGCAUGUCUUGUCCAAGUUCUUCUUUAAAGUUGUUUUUUUUUUUCUCUACUCUCCUACAGGAGAGCAGGGGGGGCUUCAGUGCCACACCUGCCCCCAGCCCAGGCCACGGGGAGGGGGCCCUGGCCCAUUUGGGGCUUGCCACCGCUCCUACCUGGCUGCCAGUUUUACCUGCUACCAAUUUCAACUGCGCCACAGCCUUCUCUUCCAUUUUCUUAAAUACACCGUUGUCAGAGGUGUUA